rnacentral:lncRNA from 1 species
GCUUGCUUAACAUGAUGGUUCCGAACUGUAGUUGAACAUUCGCCUGGGGCUUUGACCCGCAAUAUCUUGAAGAUGGUUGACCGUCUGCCGGCGGAGGGGGGUAUCACUGUGUUCGGGAAGACAUGCUCUACAACCCUGUUGAGUUUCAUCAAAAUCAGUGGAUUCCAUUUGGGGACCUUUCCUUGUCAGUUUUCUGCCAUUCAUUUCAUAAUCAUUUAAAAGUUAUUUGUAUGAUUUUUCAUAAUUUAGAGAGGCUUUAAAAAUAUUGAUUUAAUCAUAAAAAUUAUUCCUUCUUAAAUUUAAUUUUUAUCAUAGAUCACUGGUUCCUAAACUGUUCCAUUGUUCAUAGGUUGUUGCCAAAACCAGCUAAGAGUGCUGUGGUAUCCUUUCACCAUUCAUAAAUCUUCUUUGAUUGUGUGUUUUGAGGUUAUAAUUGCUUCUUCUAUUUUGUUCUGUUUCAGUUAUAUUUGUUUAGAUUUAAUUAUUAAAAAUAAGUUACAGUAUUACUAUUUGUAAAAAAUAUAUGAGGUACUAUCAAUGCAGGACUUACCUCCAAAACAGUAUUGCAAUGGAAAGUCAAAGGUUGAAAAAGUUUGGAAAUUACUGUAUUAGCUGAUAGAUGAGUUUCUGCACAGCUACGACUCAGCUUCAACCAAUAAAGUCUACUGUCUGCACAUGCUCAAGGUUGUUAGUCAUAUUGUGGCUUUUUGCUACUGUUUCGGUCAUAUCGUUGACUGAUAAAAACAGUCUUUUAUCAAUCAUGUUUUCGGGAUGGGCGAAUUCAAUCCAGAAUAUUAAAACUCGCUGUCAGUGGUUUAAUAUAACAGAUGAUCUUAUUAGAGAUAGAGGAUAGAAUAGAAAUAAUUUAUGAGAAUUGAAAGAAUUUAUUAUAAUACAGCG